rnacentral:rRNA from 1 species
AGAGCGAACGCUGGCGGCAGGCCUAACACAUGCAAGUCGAACGCACCUUCGGGUGAGUGGCGGACGGGUGAGUAACACGUGGGAACGUACCUUUUGGUUCGGAAUAACGCAGGGAAACUUGCGCUAAUACCGAAUGUGCUCCGUAAGGAGGAAAGAUUUAUCGCCAUUAGAGCGGCCCGCGUUAGAUUAGCUAGUUGGUGAGGUAAAGGCUCACCAAGGCUACGAUCUAUAGCUGGUCUGAGAGGAUGAUCAGCCACAUUGGGACUGAGACACGGCCCAAACUCCUACGGGAGGCAGCAGUGGGGAAUCUUGCGCAAUGGGCGAAAGCCUGACGCAGCCAUGCCGCGUGAAUGAUGAAGGUCUUAGGAUUGUAAAAUUCUUUCAGUAGGGACGAUAAUGACGGUACCUACAGAAGAAGCCCGGACUAACUUCGCGCCAGCAGCCGC